GGGGAGCGGGUCCGUCCCUCAGCGGGGCCGCCCAGAGGCGGGAGGAUGGGCGAGGCGGCCCAAACCGCUUCGCUUUCAACCCCCAGGCGCCGGCUGGGGCGGGGGAGCUGCCGUGAGGCGAGCCGGCGGCGGGAGCCUGGCCUCGCAUCGGCGUUGGCUUCGGCCGGCCCUGUGGUACUGCAGUGAGGUAGAGCGGUGCAGGAGAAACGCAGCUGGAAAACUGCACGUAGCCAGGCUGCCCCAGAGGAAUUAAUGCAGAGUUCACCUCAAAAUGUUGUUAAAAGCCGCACGGCGGUGGUUGCGCCGGCAGGUAACAGUGCCCGUGUGAGGCAGAGGGAAGCUGUCCCACGUCUGACCCAAAUGACGAGAGUGGGAACGGGUUCAGUGUUUAUAUCUGGGAAAAAAAUCCCUCAAGUGACUAAGCCAAUCUCAUGAUUUUGAGGGGACUGACUCAUAACCGAAUACUGAAACCCCCAGGCGAAAAUCCAUUACAUUAAUUGCUAAUUUACUCCGCUUUUUUUUCUCCUUAAACUACCAAAUUCUGCAACAGUCUCGUUCAGUUGGGAAGUGGUGGAGAAAGCUUAGCAUUACCGUGAAAGGUGGAGAGAAGAAAGGGGAAUAAAUAACUUUCGUUGGCUGCUCAGAGGGGAGGUUCACUGGCAGUGGGAAGAAGAUUCGUCCACCGCCCUCCGAUAAGGACGUUUCCCUCUCGUUUUACUAAGUGCAACACUUCAUGUGUGCUCAUGACAGCAAAUGAUUUUCUGUAUCGGCCUCUGUCCUUUAAGCAGGCACACCCUGCUGCCGCUCCCUUCGGUUCCUAGCAAGUGCUGCUCUUCUGUCCCAACGCAGAGAACGCUCAGUGAAAACGGCUGUUGAAUAGGAAAGCAGAGAAACAAAAAAGGGAGACAAAUGAAAUUUGCAUACAGCAUUUCAAAGGUCUAAAAUCGCCUCUCCCCUCGGGAGACUCAUUUACAAGGAAAUGCAAAGUGCUUGGGAAUGGCUCAGCCUUCCAUAUCAAACUCCUCAUGAUUUCACUGUGCUUAUGACACCUGUGCUCAUGACAGCGCCCAGGAGACGAAGGAUUUAUACCUGCGACUUUUCUGAAGCAACCAGGACCCACACAUCCAUUCUUUCAGGGUGGAGGAGAGUAUCUUCCUGGAGUGUUGCAAGAACUGGUUGAUCACUAUGGGAGGUGUCCUGCUGUCCAUGUAAAGGUUCCUCCCAGUGCCAAGAACUUUAGAAGCUCUGAAGACUUUUUCUUCAAAGAUGCAGAACUUUUGUCCCAACAGUUUCUAGGCACAAGAAGGGCUAUGCUGCUUCUCGAGUUGUUCAGAAUUCCAGCACACUGAUUGAACAGAGCAGUUCAGCACUUGGGAGCUCCAGUUAUUUUCAAGCAUCAUGUGCUGUCUCCUAACACUUCCUGAGCGAUGAUAAGCCAUGUCUGGGUUCACAACAUCCAAAAUCCAUCCUGCCAGACUGUGCUUUUGGCAAUGCUUAACUGCUGUGGCUCUCAGAGGUACAAAUGGUAAUAACUUCAUUUAAUAGUGGAGAAAUGCUUAUGGCAACAAGAGGUAUGAUACCGCAGCGGCCUCUGGUAAUGUGAGAGAUGUCCCAUACUCACUUCUAGCCUCUGUUUUCAAAGGGAUGAUAAAUGGACUGGGAAAAAUAAAGCUUGCUUUGGUGAGUA